GCGGCGAUAGCUCAGUUGGUAGAGCCCCGGAUUGUGAUUCCGGUUGUCGUGGGUUCGAGCCCCAUUCGUCGCCCCA
rnacentral:tRNA from 1 species